rnacentral:rRNA from 1 species
GAUGAACGCUGGCGGCGUGCCUAAUACAUGCAAGUCGAGCGAACGGACGAGAAGCUUGCUUCUCUGAUGUUAGCGGCGGACGGGUGAGUAACACGUGGAUAACCUACCUAUAAGACUGGGAUAACUUCGGGAAACCGGAGCUAAUACCGGAUAAUAUUUUGAACCGCAUGGUUCAAAAGUGAACGACGGUCUUGCUGUCACUUAUAGAUGGAUCCGCGCUGCAUUAGCUAGUUGGUAAGGUAACGGCUUACCAAGGCAACGAUGCAUAGCCGACCUGAGAGGGUGAUCGGCCACACUGGAACUGAGACACGGUCCAGACUCCUACGGGAGGCAGCAGUAGGGAAUCUUCCGCAAUGGGCGAAAGCCUGACGGAGCAACGCCGCGUGAGUGAUGAAGGUCUUCGGAUCGUAAAACUCUGUUAUUAGGGAAGAACAUAUGUGUAAGUAACUGUGCACAUCUUGACGGUACCUAAUCAGAAAGCCACGGCUAACUACGUG